rnacentral:rRNA from 1 species
ACGCACCAGGCGCGAAUCUUCCCCAAUGGACGAAAGUCUGAGGGGAGCGACGCCGCGUGAAUGAAGAAGCCCUUCGGGGUGUAAAAUUCUUCCCUUUAGGAAAAAUUCGUGAUGGUACUAAAGGAAUAAGGGGCCGCCAAACUCGUGCCAGCAGCGGCGGGUAAUACGAGUGCCCCGAGCGUUAUCCGGAAUUACUGGGCGUAAAGCGCUAAAAGGCGGUUUGAUAAGUCAGACGUCAAAUCUCCGAGCUCAACUCGGAGCCGGUGUCUGGAAACUGUCUAACUUGAGGACGGAAGAGGCAAGCGGAAUGGCUGGUGUAGCAGUAAAAUGCG